rnacentral:rRNA from 1 species
AUACGGAGGGUCCGAGCGUUAUCCGGAAUUAUUGGGUUUAAAGGGUCCGUAGGCGGGCGAUUAAGUCAGUGGUGAAAGUCUGCAGCUCAACUGUAGAAUUGCCUUUGAUACUGAUUGUCUUGAGUUAUAGUGAAGUUGCCGGAAUAUGUAGUGUAGCGGUGAAAUGCAUAGAUAUUACAUAGAACACCGAUUGCGAAGGCAGGUGACUAACUGUAUACUGACGCUGAUGGACGAAAGCGUGGGGAGCGAACGGGAUUAGAAACCCUAGUAGUCC